GUGAAAUUUGUAGAAUUCCGCAUGCGUUAAAUUUAAAACAUCAUUUCAGCAUACCUAAGAUUACAAGCGUUUAACCAUGGGAAAUAAGUGGGAGGAAAUUUUCAAUUACCGUUUAAAGGGUUCAUACCCUGCAGAGCUAAAUAAAGGUCAGAAGCAAAGCCUAAGGAAUUACUCCUCGAAAUUCAGGAUUCACGAUGGAGAACUACUCUUUGGCAGUAAAGACAAAGGAGGAGGCUAUGAAUUUAUUUAAAGAAUUUCAUGCCUCACCUAUUGGAGGACAUACAGGAACCUUAAAAACACGAACUGCCAUGUGUUCACGGUUCUACUGGUAUGGCAUGACAGUGGACAAUGACAAAUGGAUAUCUGAAUGCGACCAAUGUCAGCGGGUGGGACCACCCCUGAAUGCUGUUAAAACUCUGGAAUGCAUCAAGGUAUCUGCUGUUUGGGAGCUCAUUGGCAUUGAUCUCACUGGUCCACUCCAAAAAACAUCUACUGGGUAUCAGUAUAUAUUGACAGUCACUGACUAUUUUUCCAAGUGGGUGGAGGCCUUUCCUCAAAAGACAAAGUCUGCAUUGGAAGUAGCCAAAAACCUUUGUACUGUCAGACCAAGGACGGGAGUUUGUCAAUCAAAUAAACAGCACAGUUUGUGAGCUGCUCUCUAUUGAGAGGAGUGUUACGGCUGCUUACCAUCCCCCAAAAAAUGGGCUUGAUGAGAAAACCAAUGAUAACAUCAAACGGGCACUUAAAAAACUUGUUAAUGAUCAGCAGGAUGACUGGGACCAGUACCUAGAUGCAAGUAUUUUUUCGCUGAGAUCCAAAAUACACACCACAACAAAAUUCUCACCAUUUCUUUUAAUGUAUGGGCCUGUGCCUGUUGAACUGCCGGUAGGUCUUUUUCUUAAAAAUGGCUUUCUGUUAGUGCCAAGCAUCAAGUGACCAAACAUUUUAAAAGAUAGGCUUAGCUUAAACCAGUAGGGCUGUCACUUUAUGUUUGAAAAUCGAAUGCACAAUCGAUCGGACCAACCAACACAAGUUUUGAAAACAAAAAUAGAGAAUCGAUUUUAACGGUCUUUUCUCGCAGCGCGUCCAGCUCGUCACGAUACGCCCGCAGCGAACGCGCAUCACACACCAACUCCACACAGUAACUGCAGGCUCUGACAAACACAAAUAACAGCAAAUUAUACUUCUGCAUAAUGUUUCUCAUUUUACUACAAAAGUGUGAAUUCGGCCAGUAUUCAGACAGUCUCAUGCAUACAGAUACAGAUUCGGGCUACCCCAACCACAAUAUCUUUUCCUGUAACUCCCAGAUUCCACAUAUAUCCAUUAGAUGCAGUAGUAAUAUAUAAAUGCAGAUAUAUUGCCCAUGAAGCUCAGCUUUAUUGGAAACAUGUUUAAUAUUUUAUUGUAGAUUAAUUUAGUGUAAAAGUCUAUACUAUGAAAUGUACAAGUCAUUAUCUAUUUUGUUGUAGCUUUCAACAAUAAUACUCCCUGAAGACUGCAGUGAUUUUCUCAGGGACAGUCAGAGAAUGCAAGAGAGCACAAGAGAAAAGGUCCAGGAGAAUAUUGCACGGUCACAAAAAAAAAAUGACAGAGGCAUUUGCAAAAAGAGUUCAGGAAAAGUACAGAAAUGUGGAGUUUAAAGAGGGAGAUGAAGUACUCUUACUGAACAUGAGAAAGAGAAGCAGGAAAGGAGGGAGAAUGGAAGCAGACUACACUGGAACCUACACAAUUAAGGAGAUUUCAGGAAAGACAGCAACUUUACAAACACCACAGGGUGUCUGUCUUAAAACAAAAUAUAACAUCAGUCACCUGAAACCUUAUAAAAAAAGUAGUGCCAGCUCUCAGGUCCGAGCCCCAACCAGCUCUCAGGUCCCAGCCCCAACCAGCUCUCAGGUCCCAGCCCAAGCCAGGUCUCAGGUCCCAGCCCCAACCAGCUCUCAGGUCCCAGCCCCAACCAGCUCUCAGGUCCCAGCCCCAACCAGCUCUUGGGUCCCAGCCCAAGCCAGUUCUCUGGUACCUGUCUGGAGUAGUGCUCAAGAGCAAGGUGCAAUAGAAACUCAUAAGUUAGUUCCGAUCUGUUGGUCGUUGGUUUAGACUGGUUGGUCAUCAAGUUGCAUGUUUCUCCCAUGACCCGUUCCUGGUCAUGGUUGCAUGUGUUCUUUGUUGAAAAUGUUAAUGGUACAGUUUUUCAUCUAAAUAUUAACAAGAAUAAUUUGAAAUGUUCUGUGUUGCAGUCGAAAAACUUUGGUCUUCUAAAGAUACAGGUCAAGUGGAAGCGGUCGUGGGACCAUACAAAAUUUAUGAUACCUCUUUUAGAACACUAUCGGGACAUGGCUGGCUUUCAGAUGAGAUCAUUGAUGCAUACCUGCACUGCAUUAUGAAAUUAGCCAAGAUACCUGUGCAUUGUUUGAAUGCUGUACUUGGGUCCUCUGUCUUUCAUCGUGGCCUUUUCAGAGUUUUUCAAAAGGUUAUAUGGUUUUAUUACAGACUAUGUAACCUUAUACACAUGCAUGUUGGAACUUUGGAUUUUAAGUGCUCUCUUCUAUUUUUAGAUGAAGUUACCCACAGCCUCAACUUGGAUUUGUCCUGUAAACGUUGGAGGUCACUGGAUUUUAGUGGUACUUUUCUUGAUUCUGUAUUUACCACAAACUUUAUUGGUAGUUUUUGGUGUCUAUAAAAUCUUUAGGGAUUGUUUUAGGAUUAACUAAUACAUUUUAACAGAUUGUCAAAAUGGAUGAAAAAUCCCUCCUUGUGAUAGACCCCCUCGGUAAUGAAAAUAUGUACCAGAGAUAAAUGUUUCGGAAUUGGAGGUGAUGUAAAACAAGCCUUUCUUACUGUGUUUGUAGACUUUUGUAUUUGAAUAUGUGUCUGAACUAAUGACUUGUACAAUAACAGAAAUUUUUGGAAGACAAGAAAUGUCAGUGAAGGCCCGAGGACGAUCCAAACUGCAAAAUACAAUCUGCAGCAGGAUGGCUUUAGUUGUGGAGUCUUAAUUUUAAUGUUUGCAGAGCUCAUUCUCCAAGGCAGAAGUAUCUGCGUUGCUCAAACAGACACAGAGGAGGUCUCAGCCGCAAGAGUCAAAAUUUCAGCCAACUCUUUUGGAAUGCAAAGAUGGUGUGGAAGAGCUCUGUGUUUCCUGCAACAUGUUGCAGUUUGAUGCUGAGGAGGAUUUCACAGAGAUGGUGCAGUGUGACAUAUGCUCAAGAUGGACGCACAAGGAGUGUACCCCUGCAGCCCUUGCCUCAGAGCAUUUCAAGUGUAAAAAGUGUGUGUUAAAAGCAUAAUGUUUGCCUCAAACUAUGUUGUACAUAUUGUUGAUAAACAUAUUGUAUGUUUAAAUUUGUAUUAAAAUAUUUUUCAA